rnacentral:rRNA from 1 species
AGAGUUUGAUCCUGGCUCAGAACGAACGCUGGCGGCGUGCCUAACACAUGCAAGUCGAACGUGAAAGUCCUUCGGGAUGAGUAAAGUGGCGCACGGGUGAGUAAUGCGUAGAUAAUCUGCCUGGUGAUCUGGGAUAACAUCUCGAAAGGGGUGCUAAUACCGGAUAAGCCCACGGAGUCUUCGGACUUUGCGGGAAAAGGGGGGGACCUUCGGGCCUUCUGUCACCAGAUGAGUCUACGUACCAUUAGCUAGUUGGUGGGGUAAGAGCCCACCAAGGCUACGAUGGUUAGCUGGUCUGAGAGGAUGAUCAGCCACACUGGAACUGAGACACGGUCCAGACUCCUACGGGAGGCAGCAGUGGGGAAUUUUGCGCAAUGGGGGAAACCCUAACGCAGCAACGCCGCGUGAGUGAUGAAGGCCUUCGGG